rnacentral:rRNA from 1 species
AUUACGUCCCUGCCCUUUGUACACACCGCCCGUCGCUACUACCGAUUGAAUGGCUUAGUGAGGCCUUCGGAUUGAGAUUCGGAGACUGGCAACAGACUCCUGGUUUUGAAAAGUUGGACAAACUUGGUCAUUUAGAGGAAGUAAAAGUCGUAACAAGGUUUCCGUAGGUGAACCUGCGGAAGGAUCAUUACCGAUUUUAGCGGACCUGAUCUCUGAUCAUGGUCUCGCGAAAACUUGUAUUUAAAACCCCACUCUUAUAAAUUGAAUCAUUUUUACAUUGUAUAUAAUAAAUAAAGAUCACUUUCAACAACGGAUCUCUUGGCUCUCGCAUCGAUGAAAAACGUAGCGAAGUGCGAUAAGUAAUGGGAAUUGCAGAAUUCCGUGAAUCAUCGAAUCUUUGAACGCAAAUUGCACUCUCUGGCAACCCGGAGAGUAUGCCUGUUUGAGGGUCAGUGUUAAUAAUAAUCGGGGCGUUGCAAGUUUUUUUGUGAUGUUUCCGGANUUUUUUUUUCGUCCUUCUUAAUGCCAAAAUCUAAUAGAUGCGACCAUAUCAUGUGGUUUCGUGUCCAUAAAUUUUUCAUGAUUUGACCUCAAAUCAGGUAGGAACCCCCGCUGAACUUAAGCAUAUCAAUAAGCGGAGGAAAAGAAAAUAACAAUGAUUCCCCUAGUAACUGGGAGUGAAGAGGGACAAGCUCAAAUUUUAAAUUUAUCGGGUUUUACCCGAUCGAGUUGUAAUUUGAAGAGGCGUUUUUUGCGUUUUUGGUCAGCCCAAGUCCUAUUGAAUGAGGCAUCAUGGAGGGUGAUAAUCCCGUCCGGUUGAUCAUUUGCGUUUUACGAUACGCUUUCUAAGAGUCAAGUUGUUUGGGAUUGCAGCUUAAAAUGGGAGGUAAAUUUCUCCUAAGGCUAAAUAACGGCGAGAGACCGAUAGCGAACAAGUACCGUGAGGGAAAGAUGAAAAGAACUUUGAAAAGAGAGUUAAACAGUACGUGAAAUUGUUGAAAGGGAAACGAUUGAAG